UUCUUGGCUCAGGACCGAACGCUGGCGGCGUGCCUUACACAUGCAAGUCGAACGGGGUAAAGAGGUUCGGUUUUUUUAUUUAGUGGCGAACGGGUGAGUAACGCGUGAGGAACCUGCCUUUCAGUGGGGGACAACAGUUGGAAACGACUGCUAAUACCGCAUGACACUUCUUGGGGGCAUCCCUGAGGAGUCAAAGCUUUAUGUGCUGAAAGAUGGCCUCGCGUCUGAUUAGCUAGUUGGUGAGGUAACGGCUCACCAAGGCGACGAUCAGUAGCCGGUCUGAGAGGAUGAACGGCCACAUUGGGACUGAGAUACGGCCCAGACUCCUACGGGAGGCAGCAGUGGGGAAUAUUGGGCAAUGGGGGAAACCCUGACCCAGCAACGCCGCGUGAAGGAAGAAGGCCCUCGGGUUGUAAACUUCUUUUACCAGGGACGAAGGACGUGACGGUACCUGGAGAAAAAGCAACGGCUAACUACGUGCCAGCAGCCGCGGUAAUACGUAGGUUGCAAGCGUUGUCCGGAUUUACUGGGUGUAAAGGGCGUGUAGGCGGAGGAGCAAGUCAGAUGUGAAAUCCCGGGGCUUAACCCCGGAACUGCAUUUGAAACUGUUUCCCUUGAGUAUCGGAGAGGCAAGCGGAAUUCCUAGUGUAGCGGUGAAAUGCGUAGAUAUUAGGAGGAACACCAGUGGCGAAGGCGGCUUGCUGGACGACAACUGACGCUGAGGCGCGAAAGCGUGGGGAGCAAACAGGAUUAGAUACCCUGGUAGUCCACGCUGUAAACGAUGAAUACUAGGUGUGGGAGGACUGACCCCUUCCGUGCCGCAGUAACACAAUA
rnacentral:rRNA from 1 species